AGAGUUUGAUCAUGGCUCAGGACGAACGCUGGCGGCGUGCUUAACACAUGCAAGUCGAACGGACGGACUUUGAAGAAAUCUUCGGAUGGACUUAAAGCGAGUUAGUGGCGGACGGGUGAGUAACGCGUGGGUAACCUACCCUUUUCAUGGGGACAACAGCUGGAAACGGCUGCUAAUACCGAGUAAGCUCCAAUGACCGCAUGGUAAUUGGAGGAAAGAUGGCCUAUGCACAUGCUAUCGGGAAAGGAUGGACCCCG
rnacentral:rRNA from 1 species